rnacentral:lncRNA from 1 species
CCUCUUGCGUAAAAAGGAGGAGACGCGGUGCGAACACUUUUCACUCCGCCAUUUCUAGUCACAUCAAGGUGUCUUACUGCUUGAGGACGGAUGAGCCAUACACACUAGAGACUGGCGGAAAACACGCUUGCAGGUUAAGCCGGCCCCAGGCUGUUCCAUUCUCACAAAAGCCCGCGGGGAGAGGGCCGCGAGCCCCCACCUGGGCUGCGGCGUCGCACCGGCCAGCUCCCCUGAACUCUAGCCUCCCGCACCCCGAAGGCCUGAGCGCGGGGGAUGGGGACGGGACAAAUUAGUACCAAGUCCCCCUCGGCGACCCGGAGUUAAAAUGGCGAAGCGCAGGGGCGGGGGAAAGGGCGGCGCUCGCAACCCGGCGCUCGCUGGGCCUCCGGGCUCGCGGACUAGCCGCGCUGGGCGACGCCGCGCAACCGCGACCAGCUCUUUGCUCCGCCAUCUUCUUCGAGUCACCCGGUCUCCCCCCACGGCCGCGCUGGCUUCGCGCUUCCCUUCCGGCCACUGACAGAGAUCCGGGCUGGGCGGGGAGGGCGAGCGCGCGGAGGGGGUGGACCGAGGGCGGGGAGGCUCGACGGAAGAGGAAAGGGAGGGCGGCGAGCUGGCCGCGGAGGGGUGUGGGGCGUGCGGCGUGUGUGCGGAGGCGGAGGUGGGAGGGCGGGAGGCGAAGAGAGGGAGGGAGGCGGAGGAAUGAGAGCGCGAGGCGCUUCUCGUCGGCUCCUUCGCCCGGACGGAAAGAGCCGAACGCAGCCCGAACGCUCUAUUAAAAUGGCGGCGGCGUCGGCGGUGGCCGCGGCGUCUGGUCGGUGAAGUGACUCUGCUGCUUCUCUCCCCACCCGCCCCCUCCCUCCCUCUCCCCUCCCCCCGUCCUUCCCCCCCUUCCCCGCCGCCGGCGCCUCAGCGCCCCUCCGGCCUGCGCACCUCCCCUCGCCCCCCUCCUCUCCCCCGCCCGCUCCGGGGACCGCCGGCCCCCUCCCCCAUUCUCCUCCCCGCCCCGUCCCCGCCGCCGCCCGCCCUCGUCGCCUCCCCGCCCCGCCGGCCGGCCGGCCCACUCCUCCGCCUCUCUCCCCUCCCCCCCGCCGGUCGGGAUCAGUCAGUGCGAUCCGAAGCGGGGGAGGGGGGGGGCGGCGGCCGAACGAUGUGCGAGAACUGCGCAGACCUGGUGGAGGUGUUAAAUGAAAAGCAAAAAAGAGAGAAUCUCUUCUGAAACCUACUGUACAAGAACAAGGAAGCUGCUUUUUCCAAAACCUGGCUAGCAGAUGGUGCUUCAUAGAUCAUUGGCCCAUGUUUUUAUCAUGGGCCUUAUUCCUGAAGUAGAGUUCAAAGAGGAUGGAUUUUGGUUGGCUUAAACUGAUGACCUAUUCCUGAAGCUGAUCCCACCAAACCUCAUAGCUAAAAAACGGUAAGUGUUUCCCCAAAAGAAAUUUGGCAUGUUGUGAUUAUGA